UUCGGGUCUAGUGGCGCACGGGUGCGUAACGCGUGGGAAUCUGCCCUUAGGUACGGAAUAACUCAGAGAAAUUUGUGCUAAUACCGUAUGAUGUCGAAAGACCAAAGAUUUAUCGCCUAAGGAUGAGCCCGCGUAAGAUUAGCUUGUUGGUGAGGUAAAAGCUCACCAAGGCGACGAUCUUUAGCUGGUCUGAGAGGAUGAUCAGCCACACUGGGACUGAGACACGGCCCAGACUCCUACGGGAGGCAGCAGUGGGGAAUAUUGGACAAUGGGCGAAAGCCUGAUCCAGCAAUGCCGCGUGAGUGAUGAAGGCCUUAGGGUUGUAAAGCUCUUUUACCAGGGAUGAUAAUGACAGUACCUGGAGAAUAAGCUCCGGCUAACUCCGUGCCAGCAGCCGCGGUAAUACGGAGGGAGCUAGCGUUGUUCGGAAUUACUGGGCGUAAAGAGUACGUAGGCGGUGAUUCAAGUCAGAGGUGAAAGCCUGGAGCUCAACUCCAGAACUGCCUUUG
rnacentral:rRNA from 1 species